GUGCUCGCUUCAGCAGCACAUAUACUAAAAUUGGAACAACACAGAGAAGAUUAGCAUGGUCCCUGAGGAAGGAUGACAUGCAAAUUUGUGAAGGUUCCAUAUUUAA